ACCUGGUUGAUUCUGCCAGUAGUCAUACGCUCGUCUCAAAGACUAAGCCAUGCACGUCUAAGUAUAAAUCUUUUACUUUGAAACUGCGAAUGGCUCAUUAUAUCAGUUAUAGUUUAUUUGAUAGUCCCUUACUACAUGGAUACCCGUAGUAAUUCUAGAGCUAAUACAUGCACCGACUCCCAACUGCUUCGGCGGACGGGACGUAUUUAUUAGAUGGAAACCAAUGCGGGGGAGACCCCGGUAUUGUGGUGAGUCAUGAUAACUGUGCGAAUCGCAUGGCCUUGUGCCGGCGAUGGAUCAUUCAAGUUUCUGCCCUAUAAGCUUUGGAUGGUAGGGUAUUGGCCUACCAUGGCGUUAACGGGUAACGGAGAAUUAGGGUUCGAUUCCGGAGA
rnacentral:rRNA from 1 species